rnacentral:tRNA from 1 species
GCACUGGUGCUUCAGUGGUAGAAUUCUCACCCUCCAUGUGGGAGACCUGGGUUUGAUUCCUGGCCAAUGUA